UACGGAGGUGGCAAGCGUUGUCCGGAUUUACUGGGCGUAAAGAGCGCGCAGGCGGUCGGAUAAGUCGAAUGUGAAAGCCCCCGGCUCAACUGGGGAGGGUCAUUCGAUACUGUUCGACUCGAAGGCAGGAGAGGGAAGUGGAAUUCCCGGUGUAGUGGUGAAAUGCGUAGAUAUCGGGAGGAACACCAGUGGCGAAGGCGACUUCCUGGCCUGUUCUUGACGCUGAGGCGCGAAAGCUAGGGGAGCAAACGGG
rnacentral:rRNA from 1 species